UAUCUCUGUAGAGUCUGCAUAUCAAUAAGCGGAGGAAAAGAAACUAACAAGGAUUCCCCUAGUAACGGCGAGUGAAGCGGGAAGAGCUCAAAUUUGAAAUCUUCAAGGUUUGACCUUGACGAAUUGUAGUUUAAAGAAGUGUUUUCGGUUAGAGGAGUAGUAAAAGUUCUUUGGAAUAGGACAUCAUAGAGGGUGAGAAUCCCGUAUUUGACUAUUCUUUCUAGCUUUGUGAUACACUUUCAAAGAGUCGGAUUGUUUGGGAAUGCAGUCCAAAAUGGGUGGUAAAUUUCAUCUAAAGCUAAAUAUUGGCGAGAGACCGAUAGCGAACAAGUACCGUGAGGGAAAGAUGAAAAGAACUUUGAAAAGAGAGUUAAACAGUACGUGAAAUUGUCAAAAGGGAAGCGUUUGACACCAGUGUUGUUUUUCCGAAAAUCAAUUAAAAAUUGAUUCAUGCCAGGUUGUAUUGACCUUAUCAGCUUGCAAUUUGGUUUUGGGUCUCUUUUUGAUGCACUUUCCGGUUAACAAGUCAACAUCAAUUUCCUUUGCUGUAAAAAGGUAAGAGGAAGGUGGCUUCAAUUUCGGUUGAAGUGUUUAUAGCCUUUUAUCUCUGCAGUCGGGGAGAUUGAGGUCUGCAGCGUAGAUCCUUCGGGGCUAGAUACAUUUAUGCUAAGUUAUAGCCUUUCAUAGACAACUUGUUGACUAUGUUUAGUCAUGUAGCUUACUCGUAAGUGCUAUUUUACCUACGCUUAGGAUGUUGAGCGCAUGUCUCUCUCU
rnacentral:rRNA from 1 species